rnacentral:lncRNA from 1 species
CGUGUCUGCCCGAGAGCUGAUUGCCUUGCAUUUUGCCAGACAGCACUAAAAAGCAGGAAAGGAUGACAAAGGAUGGAAGGCAAUUGAAGGAAAACCUCUGUCUCUCACAGGAGCCAAGAAAUCCAGAAGAAAAUUAAGACAGCAGAAGCAGAACUUCAGUGAGGGUGGCUUGAGACUAGAGAGGAGCUGGUCACAGACAUUCAGAAGCUGGGAAUUCUGUAAAUUCCCAAUUGUCUGGGAAUCUCAUCUGAUUCUUAGAAAGAUGAUGGGAAUUGCCUAAGUGUUAGGGUUGACUAGACAAACAUUCUUCUGUUUCUGUAAUAUAUGGGACUUGAUCUUCAAUUUGGAAGGUGAGAGAGCAGCACACAAUCCCUGCCAGUCUAUUGUGGUCAAGUCAAAGGAGGUUCAGAGAGUCAGAAGCAAAAGAAUUGAAAACAACGUGUAAUUUUGGGUGCAUAAAGAUGCUUUUGAAUAACUUCCCAAAC